UUUUUUCUCUGACUGUUUAUGACGUCUUUACACUAAAUCCAUUGGAUGUUGGAUGUGUACUGAUUGAUAAUUUAGUCUUAGAUGCAUUAUAUUUUUAUUAGUUGUUAUUGGCUUUGAACAAGGUGUCAGUAACUGCAAGUACUCUCAGAUCUGUACUUUGUGUCUUUUGGUUGUUGGGAUAAAGAAGUACCUGAUCGCGCGUUUUUGUUAUAUAUAUUUCUAUUUCUAUGUUCCAUCCCGCCACAUUCUGUAUGUAUUUGCCUGUCCCAUGUCAAGAGCAUGUAAUUGAGUAUGGGCUUUGCUCAUUGUUGAAGGUCGUACAGUGACUUAUAGUUGUUAAUUUCUGUGUUAUUUGGUCUUUUGUGGAGAAUUGUCUCAUUGGCAAUCAUAUCACAAUUUAUUUUUUUUGAUAUUUGAAAUCAGAAUUUCAAAAGGGAUGUCUAUAAACAACUUUACCACUACGAACUUACUAUGAAACAUUUACUUAAUAUUAUCACCAAUACAUAUACUUAUAGAGGGAGGUAAAAUGACUCUUUUAACUGAAUUCAAUAACAAGAGAAUAAAAAAAGUGUGUGUAGCUCGCCUGGAUCUUCAACAAAAGUAUGCUUUUGUUAAAACACCAUGAGAGGGCAAAUACUCUAUAAAGAUUUAAGUGACAGUCAUUCCAACAAACUUGUACAUUUUGUCUUGCUGAACAUUUUUGAUUUAUGCAAUUUCUAUCUACAUUUGUAUCUACAAAAAAAUAAAUUCCGAAAAUG
rnacentral:lncRNA from 1 species